rnacentral:rRNA from 1 species
GUACACUCCUGCGGGAGGCAGCAGUGGGGAAUUUUGGACAAUGGGCGAAAGCCUGAUCCAGCAAUGCCGCGUGAGUGAAGAAGGCCUUCGGGUUGUAAAGCUCUUUUGUCAGGGAAGAAACGGUGAGAGCUAAUAUCUUUUGCUAAUGACGGUACCUGAAGAAUAAGCACCGGCUAACUACGUGCCAGCAGCCGCGGUAAUACGUAGGGUGCAAGCGUUAAUCGGAAUUACUGGGCGUAAAGCGUGCGCAGGCGGUUUUGUAAGUCUGAUGUGAAAUCCCCGGGCUCAACCUGGGAAUUGCAUUGGAGACUGCAAGGCUAGAAUCUGGCAGAGGGGGGUAGAAUUCCACGUGUAGCAGUGAAAUGCGUAGAUAUGUGGAGGAACACCGAUGGCGAAGGCAGCCCCCUGGGUCAAGAUUGACGCUCAUGCACGAAAGCGUGGGGAGCAAACAGGAUUAGAUACCCCAGUAGUCCCAUGA